CUCUCUCUCUCUCUCUCUCUCUUCCAUACGCUUUAUCGCCCGCCCGUGGAUCAUGGGAGAGAGGAGAAUCGAUUUUUACGCGCUCGUCUUUUUUCUCCACUCGCUUCUGUUUUUUUCUCCCCGUCCCGCGUGAAGCAUCAGGCGUGAAAGUUCAUUUAUUAUUGGUUGGGCAACGCUUCGGAAGAAAGACGCAGCGUGUGUACUGGUACUUGCGCAACGCUCGGACGCAACUUUAAAUCGGGCAGAUAAAGUGUCAACUACGGAGGUGCGCAUGCGCGGAAGCGCUAAAUUUCAAACGGCCGCGGGAAGAUGUUAUGUACCGUUGAACGACUCACAACAGCCGCGCACGUCGAUCCUCGCCCGAUACCUUAUCGACAAUGGUUAACGGUACAGUCGAAACGAAGCUCGAGCGGGAGUGCGACUCUCCGUACACGUCGUCGAGAGCUGAGCAAAGGCAGAUUAUUCGCCGGAGAGGUGCAGUUACAGCAUGAGCGGCCCGAGCAGUAAUUUUGGCACAGAUGGCGACCCACUAUUGUAGACUUGGAGCGCAGAUUGUACAUGAGAGAAAUAUAAAAGUACCUAUGCGCCGCCUACCUUUGCUAGCUAGAGUUAGACUGGAGAAUUGGAUUGGUGGUGAGGGGUUUGUUUUGAUAUAUUAUAUCGUG